ensembl:lncRNA
CUGAACCCACCUUGGCUUGCGCGUAGUCAUUGGCUGCCUAUUAGAAUAAAUUGAGGACAAUGCAUUCCGCUGCCUGCCAAUUGUAAACAUAAGGGAUAUGUAUUCACUUAGCAUUGACUUUUGGGAGGGGCCAAGGAAAAGCUGUACUUUUAUUGAAUAGGGCUGUGUGUGAGGCUGCUGGUGUGCCUUUCUUGCUGCGCUCCUGCCCAAGCAGCCGGUUAUUCAUUUCCUUCCUACUAGCUGAGAACUUUGCAGCCAGAGAGAUCACCUCGUUUUUCUGGAGUCGUCAUUUUGAUUCAUCAAGCAGCUGGUUUGUUACUGAAAAGCUCAGAAUAUUUCCUCUGACUGCCUUCCUGUGAGUAUGAUCAAAGAAGUUACCUCAGACUUCCUUUCUUGUGGUAUUCAGAAGUUGGGGGGUGGUUUUGAGGCUUUUUUUUCUUGUGUGUUUU